rnacentral:rRNA from 1 species
AUUGAACACUGGCGGCAUGCCUUACACAUGCAAGUCGAACGGUAACGGGCCUUCGGGUGCCGACGAGUGGCGAACGGGUGAGUAAUGUAUCGGAACGUACCUUUCAGUGGGGGAUAACGUAGCGAAAGUUACGCUAAUACCGCAUAUUCUGUGAGCAGGAAAGCAGGGGAUCGCAAGACCUUGCGCUGAUUGAGCGGCCGAUAUCAGAUUAGCUAGUUGGUGAGGUAAAGGCUCACCAAGGCGACAAUCUGUAGCGGGUCUGAGAGGAUGAUCCGCCACACUGGAACUGAGACACGGUCCAGACUCCUACGGGAGGCAGCAGUGGGGAAUUUUGGACAAUGGGGGCAACCCUGAUCCAGCCAUGCCGCGUGAGUGAAGAAGGCCUUCGGGUUGUAAAGCUCUUUCGGCCGGGAAGAAAUCGUAUGGGUUAAUACCCUGUGCGGAUGACGGUACCGGCAUAAGAAGCACCGGCUAACUACGUGCCAGCAGCCGCCGCGGUAA